ACAAGUGUGACAUCAGCGGUCAUGGAGAGUCUCCAUCCAGCUGGAUCACUGUCACAGACAAACGCACCACCACACCUACAUCCAUCUCUCCUCCAUCAUUCUCUCCUCCUGUUCUCUCUGUGUUGUCAUCUGUUGGAUCAGUCUACUGGUGUUAUUGGUUCUUCUGGUGAGACAAGAUGUUGACAGGAAACCUGAAGACUUUAAACCAGAGCCAGACGUCGUCUACUCUUCACUGAAGGAGUCCACCAGUCAAACCACUGACAUCCAGCUGCUGGUCUCUAACUGGGCCCCGCAGCACUUCGGACCAGAGGACAUCCACAUAUAAUCCAUGACAUUAGAAAUAAAUCUGAAUCAGAUAAAAUAUAAUUGAAUAUGUUUCCAUUGAAUAGAAUCUAACACCGACUUUCAGUUGAUUAGUUGUCUUUUCUCUACCAGCCUUCAGUCUUUCGUUAAUUUCUCUCGUUAAACCCUCUGGAUUUUCUACUUUUGCCUUUUGGUAAAAGCACCAUUUUAAAAGUCUUACAUUAAAAAAGUCAUUUGUUAUUAUAAUGCUGCGUCCUCUGGAGUUUUACUGUUUUCUAUAUUUUCUUUAUCUUUGUUGGAUACUACAUUUGGGGACCUGGUUUGUCUGUUGCUUGUCUGCAGUUUCAAAAAGGUGCCAGAUGGAAAAUUUGACUUGUUCGAGGUCAACUAACCAAUAAAUGUAUCACAGGUUCUUUAUUAACUAGCUGACAAAAAAGGGGACAGUACAGUGUGUUUUUAUUCUUAGGAAAUAUUUUACUUAUUUAGUGAUACAGGAGAAUAAAAAAUAUCACAACAUGAAAACGGAGAGCUGAAGAGAGAAAGUAGAGCUCCUCUUACUAACAGUGAUCCCAGGAAUAACAUUUGAAAUCUGCUGCCAUCUACUGGUAAUACUGGGUGUUACAGCAUAGCAGCUUCUUUCUAAAUGACAGCAGUCAUUUAUAGCUUGAGCUUUCAGUGCCCACCUGGUGACCCUAGCGGUAAGGUUAGGAUUUGUUUGCAUUUUAAACACAUGCUAAAUGAUGGUUUCAUUCCUUACAAACCAUCUGUGAGCUUAACCUGAUCCACUAACAGGCUGGCUGGAUAAAAGUUGCUCUGGUAAAGAGCACGAGGAAUACUCUCUGACCUGCUGCAGAGACCUGGCUGAAGAAGCAGAAAGCAAAAACCAGAAAAAAAUCAGCCAAAAAAACGAUAGUUCCUGAAAGUAGCACUGAAGGCCAAAUUAAAGACAUUAUGUUUGAAUUAGCAUUUGUAAUUAGUUUUAGAUCUGCUCAAAGAGAAAUUCAAUCAGGUCUUCUGCAAAGUUUAGUCCUUCGUUCUUAUUAGCCCUGCUUCACGAGUAUCUACUCGGGUCAGAUUGACUUGGUUUUUAAGGUUUUCCAUUAGGGGGUAGUACCUAAUAACAGGUAAUUUUUUUAUACUGGACAGGGUUCAAAGCAAUCGGAGGCAAUCAGGGGUCCUCUAUUUUUGUGUUGUGUUUGUGUCACAUACGUAAAUGGACUUUGGGCAACAUUUCUAACAACCCCACAUAUUAGGAGGUAUAAAUUCUAAUGGAAAAUGGACAAAACUGAGUAGAUUCAAUUAGGUACAAGUGGGAAAAAGGUUCUAACUGUUCAACCUUUACAUACAUUUGCUUGAUAUUAUUAUUAUUAUCAUCAUAAAUAAUUUUCAUGUAUUUUACCACACUUAUGCAGUUUUACUCACCAUUGUCCUCUGAUAAUAUAACAAACCAAUGAGCUGGUUGUCUGAAAGAAAUGGAACUGAAAAGAGACGAGACAGACAUAUUUGUGAUUGGUCCAAAAGUCUGAGACACAAAAUGUGGUCAUAUUUAUCUCUGUCUCUGAGUCACAGUGAGGAAGUCAGUCACGGUUUUGUUUUGUUAAGGGUAUCAGAGCUGCUUUCUAUCACUUAAAAAAAUUAAAGAAAUCUACCAAUAUAUAAUUCCCCAGUUUUGGUGAGAGAAAUCCCGGGAUUUGAUUUAAAUGAUACUGAGCACUAAUUAGCAGGUAUCUGAGUCUGUGUGAUGCUCCCAUACAGUCUGUGGAUGAGCCUUUCUUUUGUCUGGCAGUUUUAGAAGCAGAAUCAUCGUCUGAAUGCUUUGUUGUGCCAAACACAAAGAGAUGCAUUAUGGACUCUCUGUAGGCUCCUCUCUUUUUUAUCUUUUUGUUUUAUUUAUUUAUUUUAUUACUAUUUAAUUCAUUAUCACUUCCAGAGCAAAAAAGUGGAUGAAAGCCACUUUGGGAGAAGACAGGAGAAGAACGCUAAGAUAUUAGAAGUGACAGAGAGAAUGUGAGUGUCUGUGUUGAGCAUUUGUCAUGAAAAUGAACUUGGAAAUGAGGUUGAGGCUGUUCAUGGACCCCCGAGAGUGCUGAAGACCUAGAGUCACACAUCUCAAUCACAACUGUUCGUCCAUCCCAGCAGGGGAAAGAGGGAGGGCCCAGAUGGAGCUCCCCAUGCCAAGUGCAGGAGUGCCAGUCACCCACACAAAAACUGCACAAGGACAGAUGUACUGAGAGACUCCUGCACUGAUGUUUCAUAGGAAAGUCCAAACAGCCUCACUGCUUCUCCAUGAAGAACAAAGAUUUGCUCUCUGUGGCUCCAACACAACUUAAAGACAAUCAAAGGUGGACAAAGUUCUCCAGAACAGCUGUACCUUUAUUCAUUAGAACAAGUAUAUUGCAGUUCACUGAGAGACAGACAGAUUUUGUCUUUACAUAUCUACCUGUUUCCUUGGAAACAAAUCCAAUUGCUGUAACUGUGACACUUGCUUUGCAUAUACAGUAGAUCUUUAUCAAAAAAUGAGGAUGUGAGCUUUGAUGUCACACACAGUGGUGUUGAAGAGGAACAGGAAUCAGUUCGUUCAGCUUUUUAGUACAAAGGUCAGUUCACCCACAGAUUACUUUUACAAAAAAGAAAUUGCUUGUGUUGAACAAACCUUAAUCGGGCCCCUUUUAACCGACAGAGAAACUCUCACUUUUUAUCUUUAUAUGGAUUUUUGUUCCAUCCUGAUGAUCAGAAGAGUGUUUGAGGAUUUAAGAUUUCUUAAGAAUAACUAAAUAGUAAGUGUUAGCUGUCUUUUUUAAAAUCAUUUUCAGCCUUUUUAUGUAGUAAAAAGUUCAUGUUGUAAUGGUUACAGUUUGGUUAACAUCCACCCACAAAAAUGUUUUAACAGAACAACUGAUUCAAAACAGUCACACCUAACACUACCGUUUCUCUCCAAUUCCCCCUCAACCAGCCUAGAGAAGUUGACAUGAUUUAAAUGUAGAUAAAAGGCUCGUCUGUUUACAUCUCUCCCUCACAGAAGGCUUCUCUGCAGAGCAUCAAAUCUGCAUGGCAAAGUGACACACUUUAGGUGAUCUUCAUCCUUGGGAAAAGUGGUGUCAACUAUUUCCCAGUCUCCUAGUAUUUGUGCCUCACACAGAAUCACAAUUCCAUCGCUGGACUUCCUCUGCGCUGUCACUUUUGGAGCUUGGCACGCUCUCUCCAUCCCUCAGGUUCUCAUGUUCCAACGCUGCUGAAGAUUUAAGGCAGAGCACGUCGUACACCUUAGUUGUCUUCCUCAGCGUCAACAUUGAAUCUUUCAUUUUAUUUAAAUUUUGCUGUGGGAAGUCUCCUCUUGAUCUCCUGGAAGCUCAGUAGCACAGCUCUCUGUGUGAUGUCUGCUGUGCUGAAGAUGAUCUCUGAUCCUCCUGAAGCCUCUCUCCUGGCCUCAGCUCCCAUCUUGUGGACGAUCCUCUCAGCCACUCCUUCUCGUCAUGGCACCUCACGACAUCUACAAAUUGAAAAA